AACGAACGCUGGCGGCAGGCUUAACACAUGCAAGUCGAACGCAUCCUUCGGGGUGAGUGGCAGACGGGUGAGUAACGCGUGGGAACGUGCCCUUCAGUUCGGGAUAACCCAGGGAAACUUGGGCUAAUACCGGAUACGUGCGAGAGCAGAAAGAUUUAUCGCUGAAGGAUCGGCCCGCGUCUGAUUAGCUAGUUGGUGGGGUAAUGGCCCACCAAGGCGACGAUCAGUAGCUGGUCUGAGAGGAUGAUCAGCCACAUUGGGACAGAGACACGGCCCAAACUCCUACGGGAGGCAGCAGUGGGGAAUAUUGGACAAUGGGCGCAAGCCUGAUCCAGCCAUGCCGCGUGCGUGAUGAAGGCCUUAGGGUUGUAAAGCUCUUUCGUCCGGGACGAUAAUGACGGUACCGGAAGAAGAAGCCCCGGCUAACUUCGUGCCAGCCGCCGCGGUAA
rnacentral:rRNA from 1 species